AUUGAACGCUAGCGGGAUGCUUUACACAUGCAAGUCGAACGAGUGGCGGACGGGUGAGUAAUAUAUCGGAACGUGCCCAGUAGCGGGGGAUAACUACUCGAAAGAGAGGCUAAUACAGCAUACUAUUGGCGCGGCCGAUCUCCGAUUAGCCAGUUGGUGGGGUGAAGGCUCACCAAGGCAACGAUCCGCAGCCGGUUUGAGAGGACGACCAGCCACACUGGGACUGAGACACGGCCCAGACGCCUGCGGGAGGCAGCAGUGGGGAAUGUUGGACAAUGGGGGAAACCCUGGUCCAGCCAUCCCGCGUGAAUGAGAAGGCCGUCGGGUUGUAAAGUUCUGUUGGCAGAGAAGCGGUAUCUGCAGAUUAAGCACCGGCUAACUACGUGCCAGCCGCCGCGGUAAUAC
rnacentral:rRNA from 1 species